CAAAAGUCCUCUAAAAAUCACAUUUUUAAAGGAUUUUACGUGUUUUUUAACAAGAAUUUACUUUAUUUUAAAACUAAUUUUAAUUGUAAAUCAAAUUAGGCAAUAAUCAAAUACAAGAACACAAUAAAAAUUCAUUUUAUCUGGAAGGUAAACAAAAGAAUCACAAAAAACAAGAGAUCAUUGGCCUUAAUUUUCCAUUCAUUCAUCAACAAGAAGAAGAAAAAAGAUUGGGCUGUCGUGCAAAUUAAUCCUCAGAGCUCCCUUUUGAGUUUUUGUGCCAGGAUGCCGAAGAAAAUGGGUGAGAAUACCAAGGCGGUGGAGGCCAGGGAGCGCAAGGCAGCUGCCAAGAAGGCGCAGAAUGAGAAAAUAGCCAAGGAAAAGGAGGAUGCUCUGUGGCAAGAUGAUGAUAAAACCCUGGCAAAGAAGAAGCAACGGAAGGAGGAGGAGGAGAAGAAACGGGCAGAACAGCUGAAGAAGAAGCAGGAAGCAAAGCAACUCCUUGAGGAGGAGAUGAGCUCAAUUAAGACAACGGGAAAGCCUUCGAUUCAGAAGAUCACAAGAGCCCAGAUCCAGAAGGAAGUGGAGACAAGGAAUAAGAAUAUCGAAGCCAUCAAUAAACCUGCCAAGCCGAAGAAUGAGCUACUUGAGGAGAACAUCAAUAGAGUUAAUCUGGACAGCACUGUGGCAACGACAGUUGAUGAGGCAAUUGCAGCGCUCAGUUUAACGGAAGAAGCUCUCGAUAAGCAUCCGGAGAAGCGACUGAAGGCAGCUUUCAAGGCAUUCGAAGAGGAGAACAUGAAUCGCAUUAAAUUGGAGAAUCCAACGCUGAAGAUGUCUCAAUGGAAGCAACUUCUGUGGAAAGAAUGGACACGUUCCCCGCAAAAUCCUCUCAAUCAGCCCCGCUAGAAGCCCUCCAGAGAAGAACGUGAAAACUUGUUGAACCUUUUGGUCAAUGCGGAAGACUUUUACACCUUCUUCACACUCGAAGGAUGAUGAUUUGGACCAUAUGGAAAUGAGAGAAAAUUCAAAAUUAAAUUUAAAUUGAACAUUUAUGGCUGCUUAAGGGGAUACUCUGUGAAACAUCUGAGCAAAGGGACUAUAAAGGUAUAUAUUUUUAGAUUUUCUUUGCAUUAUACUAUCCCUCUAAAUUCACGAUUGAAUUAAAAAUUAUUUUACGGUGCAAUUAACUUAAUUAAAAGACGGAUAACUAAUUUAGAAUGAAGAUUUUGAAAUCAAUUAAUACAGUUUCAAACAAAAAUAAUUCAGUUUUUUCACCCACUUUCACUUCUAAAACUUCUUAAGAAGUUAAUCAAGAAAUAGUGACGCGAAGAAUAAUUCCAUAAAACACUCUCACAUUUAAGAAAAUUUCCAAUGAAUCAUGAUUUAUUUGAUUUUGCUUUCAAGUUGCAGCAUCAUUUGCAUAAUCUGCAAUAAAUUUUAUUCUUGUAAAUAAUUUAAUCAACUAAUUGGAAUUUUUCAAAUCAACCAACUGAAGUUUUUGAAAGAGCUUAAAAGAAAGAUUUUAGGGACAUAGCGAGAUAUCUAUUUCAUUAAUUUUUUAAAUUUUAAAGACCCCAAAAAUGGAUUAAAAAAGAGAACUUACGAAUCAAUAUUUAUGAAAAUUGAGAGUUUUAAACCAUAAAAACGGCCGUUGGAUUUAAAUUAGCAGUUUUUGACAAUCUGUGCAAUUCUAACGUUUGACGUGUUCUAGUGUUUGACAUUUAUUCUUCUGACACUUGAAGAUUUUUCUUUCGUUUGACAUUCUUAAAGUUUUGCACUUGUUUUGUAACAUUUUUCAUUAUUUUAACAAUGUUUGAUUCAACGACAUUAAUUUUUUUUAAUGUAACGUUCAGCAUAAAAAUAAUUUCUUUUCUCUUCUAAAAAAAAUCCUCAAAUUGACUGGGCUUUAAAAAAAUAUUAAAGUACCUACUCAAACCCUCCCUUGCUACGCGACUUUGCUGACUAAUUAAUAACAAUAAAUCAUUAUAUUAUGUUCAUUUCAAAGCAUAGAUUUCGAGCAAAGAUUACGAUAAUUUAAAAGAGUUUCAGUUGAAAAAAUAUUUCUUUCCCAAUUAAAGAAAACCCUUUAAAAUGAAAUUUUUAACACUUUCGGUUUUACUUUAUCUUCUCGCGUAAUCAAAUUGUAUUUUAUGAAUUUGUAAUAAGUACCUUCCAACUAUUUUUUAUGAUGAGUUAAAAGCCCACAAAAGAGGCACAAAAUGUGUUAAAAAUUAACUUUUAAUAAUACCCCAUCAAUGCAGAGGAAAAAAAAUUUCUAAACCAUCAAAAAGAAGAGAAGAGUUUGCUUCUGAAUUGAGCUCUCGCGCGCAUGUUUAGUGUUUGUAAAUUAGCCAAAAUGAAUAUGUUUUAAUCCAUUGAUUUUCAAAUUUCUCGUGAGAUAUUGAAUUUAUACAUGUACACAAGAAGAGCGGCAUUGUUGAAUAUUCAUUUUCACGAAAACCAGGAGACCCACAAUGUGAAGCACGUGAAUAUGAUCAUAGUCAUUGAUUUUAAGAGUAGAAAAAAGAAAUAUUUCGCCAGAGCCAUAGAAAAUUGCGUGAAAAUCCAUAUAUUUUGUGAAUUGCAUGAAUUCAGAUGGUAAUUUUUUUUUUAUUUUACUUUCUCAUCAUCAUCAACACAAACCAAUUGUGCUGACUGAGAGAGUCUUUCUGCUGAUCGUUUGAUGGCGAUAUACUAAACAACAUUGUCCUAAAUUAGCUUCAUUAUAUUGACAUCCAGUCAGUGCAGAUUUUUGCCAUCACCUUUUCAGCGAUUUCGCUUAUUGUGAGGUAUGUGUUUGAGAGAAAAAAAAACGAAGAAGAAUCUCUAACCGAAAAAGCGGGACACUCUUGUCUGCCAAUUUGUCAUCAGUGGACAAGAAGAAUUUGAUUGUUUCAUCCGGAGGAGACGACGAUAUCUUGUCAAUUGACAUCGCUCAUCUCACAAGAAAGUAAAGUGGUUGCGAAGAUUUUGCUUUUUUUUGUAAUCAUCAUCUUCUCGCACAUUACAAACAAUUUACUUCCACUGCAUUUCCACACACACCGGAGUUGCUAAUGAUUUUUCAAUGAUGCGGAGAAAAUUCAAUGGCAAAUGGAUAAGUACAUCACCCAGAAGAUUGCGCGCUCUCUUCCACUCUCAAGCUCUUGUCCACGACAAUCUUGCUAUUUAUGUUAUUUUGUGUUGUUGAUAUCGAAGUGAAAGAUGAAGAAAUGAUGGCGUUUGUGACGUGCUAAUUUCACUUUUAUUAAAUAUAUAGAAUUGUGCGUAUUUUUUUUCAGCCGUACAAUCAUCCACUUUAUAAACAUUUGCACUUCUGCGAAAUCAACUGUUAGUUGUUGAGUGUGAUGUUGGUUUGUAUAUAAAGCAAUAUUUUUUUAAAUGGACAAAUCACCGAUGGAUUAGUAAAGUUUCUAUCUUGUCGAUGCAUUUUUAUUCCGAGAAAAAAUGAAAAGAGCUGGCAAAUGAUGCGGAUUUGGUGAAAAUGGAUCAAGAUCUUUAUAAUAUCUCUUAAUAUCUCUCCCUCCCAUACUUGGGGAGUAUUUUAUUGUGUAUAUUAAUCCUUCUUUUUAAGCUCAUUUUUAUCGGAAUUAUUUGAACUGUAUCACAUUGAAGGAUUAAAAAUAAUAUUUGAUUAAUUUCUCUCCAAAUUCUAAAGAAACAUCUUAAGGUUUUUUCAAGGAAACAAGUAUCAUCUUCGAGGAAAAAUUAUCUUUUCCUUUCUUUGUUUUAUUCAUUUAAAAUUCAAUUAAUUAAACGAAUGAAUUACGUAUUUUUAAUAUCAUUUACAGAGAGAGUUUCAGAAGACUUUAUUCUAAUGAGAUUCCUGGGAAAUUCUUAAGAAAAUCUUAUUGGUUUGAACGUUUAAAGCAAUUUGAAAUCCAUAUUAUUUUCUCUUAAGUAUAGAUAAUUUAGUCAUUUAGUCAACACAGACAUUCUCCAAUUAAAUAAAUUAUUUAAUAGCGUGUUCUUAUAUAUAUUUUUAACCCACUUUUUGUAGCAUUUUCUUACAAAAUCUCAUUAAUUUCUGAAUAAAGAAAAUCUCAAAAGACCCAAAUAUAUUUUUUUAAAUAAAUAAAUCAACAAAAUGUAAUACCAUUGCGUUUAGCUACCUCAGUAUAUCAACCGGAAACGUUCUGACCAUCACUGUGUUACAUUUCUUCCACGUAAAUGAAUGAAAAAUCUUUUACAAUCAUUAAGAAACUUUUACAAAAAUGCAUUUCUUCCGUAAAAGAAGUUUUGAGCCCCAUUUUGUAUACAAAAGAAAUUGGAAAAGAGAAUGGGGAGACAACUGUAAAAAAAAUUGCUCCGAAGUUUAUAAAUUUUUAUUAAUUAGCGCACGUCAUCCAAAGCCAUUUCCGUGUACCCCCAAAAGAAUCGCAUUGACAGUCAUGUACGAUGAAGCCCCAUCAAUGGGCACCAUCGUAACCUCCUUCACCAUAUUUUAUACCACACCACACAUUUUUUCUCCACCACAAAUAGAUGUACAGACAUGAAUUUUUAUUGUGACUCUUUUGCACCUCAAGAGACAAACAUUUUUUUCUUUCUUAAACUUGCGCGGGCCAAUUCAUAAUUCUUUCACAUUUUUUUCUCUUUCUUUUUUUUUUGUAAACUAUUACAUUGCCUUCAAUUUCUUCUAUAGAGUUGAGUUUUUCUUUUCUUUUUUGCUCUUUCUCUAUUAUGCUAUCUUCUGUAAUAGCUUAGCAAAAGCCCAUGUUUUGCCGGUUGGCUGUUGUUGCAUGAUUUAGUUUCAUUAAUAAUUUAGCUCUGCAGCGUCGUUUCCGUUGAGAAAAUCCAACUGAGGAUGGAAACACAAGAGAGCAGCCUAACCAUAUAUACAAUUCUUCGCGAGUUCUUUGCGCGACGUGCUCAGCCACGGAAUAAACCGUUAGAAUUGUGCCAUUUUAUAGGCCAAACAAUAAUCUAUUCAGAUUAUAUAUAUAUGUACGUACAUAUGUAUGUAAUAAGACCAAUCUAAGAGGGGGGCACACUUUUGCCACACGAAAAUGCACACAUAGCACGUCAGGUGAGCUAAAGGAGAUAUCGCUUUCAAUCUUCUUCAAAAUUGUACAUAAUGUAGCAUAAGUUUAUGUAUGUGGAUGCACGUCUGAUGGUGCAAAAGGACGUACAUUGUGGAUUUAUGAUCUUACACUCUACAAUGUAUGAUGGAGGAAUAAAACUCAAACGGCUUUCAUUCCACAAAAUAGGUUACCAUUCGAGCGAUGGUCAGUUUUCUGUGAGCGAGACUCGGUUUACUUCUUUUGAUGGUUCAACACCUGAACGUAAUUCUCCGGAGCAAGUAUUAUGGAGAACACGAAAAAAAAUCACAAUUAAGCAGAGGAAACAAACUGUAAAUUACGAUGAAUAUUUAAUGAGAAAGAUGACCAAUUUCUCCAGUCCAUGAAAAAAUAAAUAAAUUCCAUUGAAAA